rnacentral:misc_RNA from 1 species
AAGUCGUACAAGGUUGGAACAGUUACAAUCGAGCGGUAGUUCGAAAGGCAAUGUUUCCCCAAGCAGUCAGUGUCGGAAAGUGUCAUUGAUUGUGCAAGGAUGGCGCUUCUACGAUUCCUGUAGACCGUACACUCGGGCAGGAGCUUUGCCAAAGGGCCCAUGCCCCCUAAUAACCCCACAGUUUAAUGUGAAGCUCAAUGUAAUACAUUGGGUAAAAAGACCGAACAACUGUUAACAAUGGAUAUCUUGGUUCUC